AUUGAACGCUGGCGGCAUGCCUUACACAUGCAAGUCGAACGGUAACAGGUUAAGCUGACGAGUGGCGAACGGGUGAGUAAUACAUCGGAACGUGCCCAGUAGUGGGGGAUAGCCCGGCGAAAGCCGGAUUAAUACCGCAUACGACCUAAGGGUGAAAGGGGGGGAUCGCAAGACCUCUCGCUAUUGGAGCGGCCGAUGUCAGAUUAGCUAGUUGGUGGGGUAAAAGCUCACCAAGGCGACGAUCUGUAGCUGGUCUGAGAGGACGACCAGCCACACUGGGACUGAGACACGGCCCAGACUCCUACGGGAGGCAGCAGUGGGGAAUUUUGGACAAUGGGCGCAAGCCUGAUCCAGCCAUGCCGCGUGAGGGAAGAAGGCCUUCGGGUUGUAAACCGCUUUUGUCAGGGAAGAAAUCCUUUGGGUUAAUACCUCGGGGGGAUGACGGUACCUGAAGAAUAAGCACCGGCUAACUACGUG
rnacentral:rRNA from 1 species